rnacentral:rRNA from 1 species
GGCUUAGAGUUUGAUCCUGGCUCAGANCGANCGCUGGCGGCGUGCCUAACACAUGCAAGUCGCACGCAGUUUAAGGGGCAACUCUUGAACUGAGUGGCGCACGGGUGAGUAAUAUAUAGGUAACCUACCCUUUACUGGGGAAUAACCUGUCGAAAGACGGGCUAAUUCCGCAUACGUCCAAGACUACUACGGUAGAUUUGGGGAAAGGCGGCCCGCAAGGGCUGUCGGUGAUGGAUGGGCCUAUAUCGGAUUAGCUAGUUGGUGGGGUAAUGGCUCACCAAGGCGACGAUCCGUAGCUGGUCUGAGAGGAUGAUCAGCCACACUGGAACUGACACACGGUCCAGACUCCUACGGGAGGCAGCAGUGGGGAAUAUUGCGCAAUGGGCGAAAGCCUGACGCAGCAACGCCGCGUGAGGGAUGAAGGUUCUCGGAUUGUAAACCUCUGUCGUAGGGGACAAAACCUAUAUUAGCUAAUACCUAGUA